CUACUGCCCUCUGAAAGAGCUGUUUCCGGUUAAAAAAUAAUGACCAUAGAAUUCCUCGAAAUGUGUUGUGAGCAAGUGCAUAAUAUUUACUUAGUGCUUCACUCACCGAUACGUACUGAGCGGGAGACGUUUCUGAGUGCGCCGACAAUCUGGUGUCCCAGCUUGCGGACAUUCUGGAGGUCGUCCCUCAUGGAGAAGGAGAGAUCCAUCAGGUCUGGUGAAUGAACGUGGUGCGUGGCGGGCGGCAACUGACCGAGACGAUGGCGUUGAUAGCGGUGUCGGCGCCGAUGCUGAAGUCUGAGCCGGGCACGUUGUUGGAGACGGUGGCAGGAAUCACCACCAUGGG